rnacentral:rRNA from 1 species
CCUACGGGUGGCAGCAGUGAGGAAUAUUGGUCAAUGGACGAGAGUCUGAACCAGCCAAGUAGCGUGAAGGAUGACUGCCCUAUGGGUUGUAAACUUCUUUUAUAUGGGAAUAAAAUGUUCCACGUGUGGGAUUUUGUAUGUACCAUAUGAAUAAGGAUCGGCUAACUCCGUGCCAGCAGCCGCGGUAAUACGGAGGAUCCGAGCGUUAUCCGGAUUUAUUGGGUUUAAAGGGAGCGUAGGUGGAUUGUUAAGUCAGUUGUGAAAGUUUGCGGCUCAACCGGAAAAUUGCAGUUGAAACUGGCAGUCUUGAGUACAGUAGAGGUGGGCGGAAUGCGUGGUGUAGCGGUGAAAUGCUUAGAUAUCACGAAGAACUCCGAUUGCGAAGGCAGUUCACUGGACUGCAACUGACACUGAGGCUCGAAAGUGUGGGUAUCAAACAGGAUUAGAUACCCCUGUAGUC